UACGUAGGGUGCAAGCGUUAAUCGGAAUUACUGGGCGUAAAGCGUGCGCAGGCGGUUUGCUAAGACCGAUGUGAAAUCCCCGGGCUUAACCUGGGAACUGCAUUGGUGACUGGCAAGCUAGAGUGUGGCAGAGGGGGGUAGAAUUCCACGUGUAGCAGUGAAAUGCGUAGAGAUGUGGAGGAAUACCGAUGGCGAAGGCAGCCUCCUGGGCCAACACUGACGCUCAUGCACGAAAGCGUGGGGAGCAAACAGG
rnacentral:rRNA from 1 species